rnacentral:rRNA from 1 species
CUCCCGGCCGCCAUGGCGGCCGCGGGAAUUCGAUUAGAGUUUGAUCAUGGCUCAGGAUGAACGCUGGCGGUAUGCCUAACACAUGCAAGUCGUACGAGAGUUUUUAACUCUAGUGGCGGACGGGUGAGUAACACGUGAGAAUUUGCCUUUAGGAGGGGGAUAACAAUUGGAAACGAAUGCUAAUACCCCAUAUGCUUUUAAGUAAAAUGGAUUUUAUCCGCCUAAAGAGAAGCUCGCGGCUGAUUAGCUUGUUGGUAAGGUAAAAGCUUACCAAGGCGACGAUCAGUAUCUGGUUUGAGAGGACGAUCAGACACACUGGAACUGAGACACGGUCCAGACUCCUACGGGAGGCAGCAGUGGGGAAUUUUCCGCAAUGGGCGAAAGCCUGACGGAGCAAUACCGCGUGAGGGAAGAAUGCCUAUGGGUUGUAAACCUCUUUUUUCAGGGAGGAAUAAAAUGACGUGUACCUGAAGAAUAAGCAUCGGCUAACUCCGUGCCAGCAGCCGCGGUAAGACGGAGGAUGCAAGUGUUAUCCGGAAUCACUGGGCGUAAAGCGUCUG